rnacentral:rRNA from 1 species
AACGAACGCUGGCGGCGCGCCUAAUACAUGCAAGUCGAGCGAGAAGACGUAGCAAUACGUUUGUAAAGCGGCGAACGGGUGAGGAAUACAUGGGUAACCUACCCUCGAGUGGGGAAUAACUAGCCGAAAGGUUAGCUAAUACCGCGUACGCUCCUUGGACUUCGGUUCAGGGAGGAAAGCGAUACCGUGGGUAUCGCGCUCUUGGAUGGGCUCAUGUCCUAUCAGCUUGUUGGGAGGUAACGGCUCACCAAGGCUUCGACGGGUAGCUGGUCUGAGAGGACGAUCAGCUACACUGGCACUGCGACACGGGCCAGACUCCUACGGGAGGCAGCAGUAAGGAAUAUUGCGCAAU